GUACUUAGCUGGAAGGGGAGAUACCAUGAUCACAAAGGCGGCUUUCCCAGGGUGAAGCUCAUCCACUGCACUCCGGGCGUGACGACUUCUGCGAUUUCCCCAAGUGUGGGAAACGCGACUGCAUAGUUUGUGGUAGUGGAAGACUGCGUUCGUGCUUUCCCCUG
ensembl:snRNA U1 U1 spliceosomal RNA